UGGGGAAUAUUGCGCAAUGGGGGAAACCCUGACGCAGCAACGCCGCGUGAAGGAUGAAGGCCUUCGGGUUGUAAACUUUUGUCUUUGGGGAAGAAUAAUGACGGUACCCAAGGAGGAAGCCACGGCUAACUACGUGCCAGCAGCCGCGGUAAUACGUAGGUGGCAAGCGUUAUCCGGAAUUACUGGGUGUAAAGGGUGCGUAGGCGGGUUUUUAAGUCAGAUGUGAAAUACCGGAGCUCAACUCCGGGGCUGCAUUUGAAACUGAAGAUCUUGAGUGCAGGAGAGGUAAGUGGAAUUCCUAGUGUAGCGGUGAAAUGCGUAGAUAUUAGGAGGAACACCAGUGGCGAAGGCGACUUACUGGACUGUAACUGACGCUGAGGCACGAAAGUGUGGGGAGCAAACAGG
rnacentral:rRNA from 1 species